CUACGGGAGGCAGCAGUGGGGAAUAUUGCACAAUGGGCGAAAGCCUGAUGCAGCAACGCCGCGUGAACGAUGAAGGUCUUCGGAUCGUAAAGUUCUGUUGCAGGGGAAGAUAAUGACGGUACCCUGUGAGGAAGCCCCGGCUAACUACGUGCCAGCAGCCGCGGUAAUACGUAGGGGGCUAGCGUUAUCCGGAUUUACUGGGCGUAAAGGGUGCGUAGGUGGUCCUUCAAGUCGGUGGUUAAAGGCUACGGCUCAACCGUAGUAAGCCGCCGAAACUGGAGGACUUGAGUGCAGGAGAGGAAAGUGGAAUUCCCAGUGUAGCGGUGAAAUGCGUAGAUAUUGGGAGGAACACCAGUAGCGAAGGCGGCUUUCUGGACUGCAACUGACACUGAGGCACGAAAGCGUGGGUAGCAAACAGGAUUAGAUACCCUGGUAGUCCACGCUGUAAACGAUGAGUACUAGGUGUCGGGGGUUACCCCCCUCGGUGCCGCAGCUAACGCAUUAAGUACUCCGCCUGGGGAGUACGCACGCAAGUGUGAAACUCAAAGGAAUUGACGGGGACCCGCACAAGUAGCGGAGCAUGUGGUUUAAUUCGAAGCAACGCGAAGAACCUUACCUAAGCUUGACAUGGGGAUGAAAAGCGAUGUAAAGUCGUAAUAGUAGCUUGCUACACAUCCCACACAGGUGGUGCAUGGUUGUCGUCAGCUCGUGUCGUGAGAUGUUGGGUUAAGUC
rnacentral:rRNA from 1 species